CAUUAAUCGUGAAACCGCGAAUGGCUCAUUAUAACAGCUAUAAUUUACUUGAUCUUGACACAAUCCUACUUGGAUAACUGUGGUAAUUCUAGAGCUAAUACAUGCAUUAAAGCUCUGACCUCACGGGAAGAGUGCAUUUAUUAGAACAAAACCAAGCGGCUUCGGCUGUUUCUGGUUGACUCAUAGUAACUGAGCUGAUCGCAUGGUCUUGCACCGGCGACGUGUCUUUCAAGUAUCUGCCGUAUCAACUUUCGAUGGUAGUGUAUCUGACUACCAUGGUGAUCACGCGUAACGGAGAAUAAGGGUUCGGCUCCGGAGAGUUCGCCUGAGAAAUCGCGAACACAUCUAAGGAAGGCAGCAGGCGCGAAAAUUACCCACUCUCAGCACGAGGAGGUAGUGACGAAAAAUAACGAGACCGUUCUCUUAUGAGGCCGGUCAUCGGAAUGGGUACAAUUUAAACCCUUUAACGAGUAUCUAUGAGAGGGCAAGUCUGGUGCCAGCAGCCGCGGUAAUUCCAGCUCUCAAAG
rnacentral:rRNA from 1 species